rnacentral:hammerhead_ribozyme from 1 species
AUCCAGAUGACGGGUCCCAAAUAGGACGAAAUGCACGUUGUCCUGGAU